UUCUGCUCCAGGUCCUCCAGCUGGAGCCAGACUAUGGUACUGGUGUUUCGGUCCUCAACAGGUUGGUGAAAUGCUUUCUGUCUGGAUUUGUUGCUCAGUGAGGUUCUUAUUGCUCUACCUGUGGAGAGGGGAAGGAGAUUUAGUUAGGAAAGUACGACCAUGCUCUAGUAAGGAAGGUGAAAGACACCCUUCAGUGAUAAGGAGCAAAGCAUGGGGCGCUGCAGGAUGCUGAACCAAGGGAUCUCCCAGUCCUUCAUUUGGAAAGGGGGGUCCUUCUGGGUUUGAAAACCAUCAGAGGAGACCCUCAGCUUCAGCCCCUGGCUAAAACACUGCCAUCGCCCACCAGGGAUGCUGCAGCCCAGCCCACCACGGCACUGGGGUGGACGAUCUCAGGGGAUGCUUCAGAGCCAAGAACUAAAAGAAAAGAUGGAGAAGAAUAGAAGAAAACAGAUCACUGAGCUGCUGCAGGAGCUGGCUGCUUUCACACGAAGACCCUUGAUUUGCUGUAGUGCUGCAUUCUACCUCAAGCUAAGGACAAGGCUUGGCUCAUCCAGCAGCUCCAGCUCAUCCUGCUGCCCCAGCUCAUCCUGCAGCCCUGGCUCAUCUCGUCACUCAGGCUCAUCCUGCUGCCCUGGCUUGUUCUGCAGCCCUGGCUCAUCCCACAGGCAUGGCUCAUCCUGCUGCCCUGGCUAAUCCUACAACCCCCAUCCCAUCCCACUGCCAACUCUCUACCUUCAGUUUCCCAGAUCAAUUCACCGUGUUUAUUGACCAGCGGGAGCGAUGGGCUGUUGCAGGUUCAUCAGCUGUUUCUGCUUCUCCUUCCUUCAUCCCAGGUUUGCUGGGCUCGUGCUGAUCACUUUGGCCCAGUUUAUACAUGGAAAAAACACAUCUUGUGACAGAGAGGGAAGGAGCAUCACCGAGUCUUUUAGCCCCUACUCACCUGUAGAAGCACGCAUGCCACAGCCUGCAGGCAGCACCAUGGAUCUAUUCCAGAAGGAAGCAGGCUAAUAAGCUUCCUGGCAGGGCUGUGAAUGGAAAGAGGAUUUUAUGCAACAGGUUGAAGCUUGUCCCACGCUGAGCUCCUGCUGUAAAGCAGCAGAACCCACUGUGGGUUUGCUCUGAGGCGGCUGAAUGGUCCUUAGAGGGGCUAAAGCCGGUGGUGCCCUCCCUGUCCCGCAGGCAGAGGCGCUCGCUGCGGAUCCCGCAGGGACAACACGCUGUGUGUGCAACGCGCUUGCGUGCGCCGGCGGUGAAGGAGAACAGGCCAGAGAUUAUUCCCUGAUGUGUUUGAGCAAUGAUGCAAUUUGGGGAAACUUGCAGUCGUUUGCGAGCCAGGGAUCCCUGCCGGGCGGUGGGACACCUCUGCCACCCGCACAGCAUUCCCCAUCCUCUGUGUCCGGUUGGAAAGGAGACACCACCUGUCAGUGGUUUUUGGAAGAAAAGCCACAGACAUGGCAAGGACAGGCACGGGGUACUGCGGGCGUUCUUUUUGGUACUCCAAGGACUGCUCCUGCAAAUACAGCCUUUGAAAAAGCCAUCAAGUUUUUGGUUUGGCCUUUUCCAAGCAAAAGGAAAACAUGGCUCUUCCUCACAGGGUGUGGCUGUAGGGGAGAUGGCACAGGGUGUCACAGUGGGAUCCAUCCAACCCUUGACAUGGCCAGGAGUCAUCGCUGGGGCUGGAUGUGGGUGCAUGUCCCAGGAAAAGUCUCAGGGAAACUGCCAGCAUCAGGAAAGAAACCCACUCUGGGAUCUAAGCUCUUGCUGCUCGAGUCCUGCUGGGAACAGGAACUGGGAAUUUAGGAAAAAAGUAGUGAUGGUGAGUAAAUAGAUGGAGGCAGAGGGAAAUGGGGGGGCAGCAGCACAGCUUCCUUGGAACAAGUCAGCGUAAAAUCUGUCUCUGAUGGGAACGUCAGUGACUCACUGGCAGCGCGUGAGCUGUGAUCCCCCACUGGAGAUGAGAAGCGUGUUUUAGCCCUUCCCAACAAUUCAAGGAAGGUGAGUCCUUGGGGGAACCUUAAUUUUUUUUUCCUCUACAGGGGAUGCAAGACACAAGCUGUUGGCUGGGGCAGGUGUUAGAGGGCAAGAAGCGAAAUCCCACAUCCAAAGGGCCCCUUCCCAGGGCAAGGGGAGGAGGAGAUGUGUUUCUUCCCCACCCUCAUCAUUUGAAGAUGUACCUGAAUGGCUACAGUGAAGGUCUCUUGCCUUCCAUCUGCAAUUUUCUUCAUGUAACCCUUUUCCAAUGGUUUCCAUUUGAUAUUUGUGAUUAUGGAGUGAAAAAUGUGACUACUCUGCAGUAUUUUCUGAAAAGUUGCCAUCUCCGUGCACAGCUCUGCCAAAACACUCGCUCACAGAAGCACUCGUGGGAAGUGCGGCUGCAGUGGGAGUGGAUCCACCUCGCAGGGCAGGGAGAAGACGCUUUGUCACUAACAGGGAGGGUGACCCCAAGGCUGCUCACCCUCGUGGGCAGGGGCUGGGAGGGUCUUGCCUCCCAUGCUCAGCUGGGGCAGGGAAGCCAGCGCUGCCCUGGCACCAGCGAUGCUCCGCUGGCCGCAUCAACACAUCAACCCGUCACCAUCCAGCUCCAGUGAUGGUGAAACACAAUGAGUGUUUCUGGUUGGUUCUGCCAAUAACAGGGUUGAGCAUCAUACAGCAACUGCUCCUUGGGUCCCCCCAGCCUGCAGCAGAAGUGCUGGCACUGAACUCCAGCAGCACAAAUCACCCCCGCAACCCCUGGGAGGUGGCCCACGUGGCAUUCGGAGCAGGUGUUUGCUGGCAGAGCGGCAUUCGGAGGGCUCUCGGUACUCUUUUUUUUGUUACAGCGCUU